rnacentral:rRNA from 1 species
GAUGAACGCUGGCGGCGUGCCUAAUACAUGCAAGUCGAGCGAGGUUCUUCGGAACCUAGCGGCGGACGGGUGAGUAACACGUGGGUAACCUGCCUGUAAGACUGGGAUAACUUCGGGAAACCGAAGCUAAUACCGGAUAAUUUUGAGCAUCGCAUGAUGCUUGAUGGAAAGACGGUUUCGGCUGUCACUUACAGAUGGACCCGCGUCGCAUGAGCUAGUUGGUGAGGUAACAGCUCACCAAGGGGACGAUGCGGAGCCGACCUGAGAGGGUGAUCGGCCACACUGGGACUGAGACACGGCCCAGACUCCUACGGGAGGCAGCAGUAGGGAAUCUUCGGCAAUGGGCGAAAGCCUGACCGAGCAACGCCGCGUGAGCGAUGAAGGCCUUCGGGUCGUAAAGCUCUGUUGUUAAGGAAGAACAAGUACGAGAGUAACUGCUCGUACCUUGACGGUACUUAACGAGAAAGCCACGGCUAACUACGUGCCAGCCGCCGCCGUAA